rnacentral:rRNA from 1 species
UACGUAGGGGGGCAACGUUGUCCGGAUUCAUUGGGCGUAAAGAGCGUGUAGGCGGUCCGGUAAGUCAGCUGUGAAAGUCAAGGGCUCAACCCUUGAAUGCCGGUUGAUACUGUCGGGCUAGAGUCCGGAAGAGGCGAGUGGAAUUCCCGGUGUAGCGGUGAAAUGCGCAGAUAUCGGGAGGAACACCAAUGGCGAAGGCAGCUCGCUGGGACGGUACUGACGCUGAGACGCGAAAGCAGGGGAGCAACGGG